UACUAAUGUCAGGGUCUUUGGACUGUAGGGCUAUUCUUAACAAUUCGAUCAUUCCAUCUCAAGUUUCUCUAAAGGGGACUGCUUCCCUGAAGCUACUGCUUCAGGGACAGCCAUGGGUGACAGGUGAUGUGUCCCCUCGGCUUACUGCUCAGCCUCAGGUGACUGGAUACAUAUGAACACUUGUUCCUAUGGCAGCUAAUCCAAAGGCUAACCAGGCCAAUUGCCUGUGAGGCAGCCAGGUGGGAAGGAGUGAAAGAAAGAAAGGAGAGAGAACACCAGAGAGGGCAAUGUGAUGGUUAAUAUUAUGUACCCACUUGAUUGGGCCUUAGGGUGCCCAGAUAUUUGGUCAAACAUUCUUCUCGAUGUUUUGGGAUAAGUUUAGCAUUUAAACUGAUAAACUGAGUAAAGCAGAUUGCUCUUCCUAAUAUGGGUGGGCCUCCUCCAAUCAGUUGAAGGUGUGAAUGGAACUAAAGGCUGAGAAAGAGGGAAAUCUUUCCACCUGAUUGCAUAGAGCUGGGACAUCAGAUUUUUUUCCUGCCAUUGGACUUGAACUGAAAUAUCAAUGCUUCCUAAGUCUCCAGUGUGCUGAUUAUAGGUCUUGAAACUUAGCAUCUGUAAUCACAAGUCAAGUCCUUAUAAUAAAUCAUACAUUCAUAAAAUCCUAUAUAUAUAUAUAUAUUCUCUAUCUAUAUAGAUAACAUAAAUACCCAAUCUAUAUCUAGAUACCCUGUUUAUCUGUACCUAUAGCCUAUAUGCAUUUAUAGCUUAUUCUAUCUAUCUCUCUGCACAUCCGAUUGACUCUGUUUCUCUGGAGAACCCCAAUUCAGGCAGUCAGAUUCCUUGUUGGGGAUCUGAACCAGGAGCUAUGAAGGCCAUGAUGUAGCUAGAAGCAGAAACUAAAAGUGAAAGGAAGCAGACAGAAAGGUGAGGAUGAACCAGAGUCAUGAAAGAGAGUCACACCCUGGAGGGGUUGUGGCAAGUCCAAGUCGAGGAGCAGUGGGCAGUGAGAUGGUGUCAUGUCAGGAAGCGGAGAGCAGAGGGCUCCUGAGCAGCAGGUGGAGGGGGAUGCCCCUUCUCAGCCAUGCUCAGCCCUGAUUGCUCCCUGGCUCUAGUCCUUCUGGAACAUCUGCUUUUACUUGUGAUGCUGUAAGUCUUGGUGAUUUUUAACUACAGAGGCUGACUGCAUCAGAGGCUUAAAGUCUGUUGGAAAAGAUUAGGAUAAGGAAGGAAGAAGACAGAGUAAAUAGAGAAUAAAAGAAAUAGGGGAAACAAAAGCCUGGGGAAAAUGAUGAAGAAAGGGAAGAGGAGGGUAGGGGCAGUUUGAUCCAAUGGGGAAAUGAUUCAGGCUAAGGACCAGUUACUCUCAAGUUUCUAGCGGUCCUCAACCACUACAAUCAAGAUAAGAGGACUCUCCUUUCCAUUUCUUGUUCUUUACUUAAUAAAUAAAUAAAUAAGACAAACCUGCCUAUUUCCUCCCCAGAGAAUUGAAUGCGAUCAGUUCUGGCCAUAAAGCCCCCUGGAGAAAUUCACGGUGUUCAGGAAACAUUAAGAGGCUGAAAGAAAGAUGGUUUCUAAAUCUCAGAGGAAGAAGCUUCGCAAUGAAGUCUUGGACCUAAUCAUUUUAUCCCUUCCCUCGGCCUGGUCACACUGCCAAUUCCCCCAGCAGUAGCAAUCACUCACAAAGGAAGAAUCUCAGAGCCCAGGCGUGGAUUCUAACCCACAAUCAAAUAGAAGCUCAAGUUCUCCGCUCAUACAAUUUCUGGUAAACACUGUCAAUUUCAGACUUCCAAAUGGGGAGUGUAUUUUUAUUCAUUUUAAGUUAUGCUCUCUUUCAUUUUCUUGGAAAAUGGGACAAUGGGGCAAUCCGAAGGGUUUGAUUUUCAGUACUUAUUUAUAUUUUUCAACAUAUAUAUAUAUAAAUAUAUAUAUAUAUUUAUAUAUAUAUACAUACACCUGUCAAGAAAAAAAGACAUGUGCUUUGAUGUUGAGACAAAGGAAGCAUCAUUCCUGCAGGUCCCAAAUGGAAUAUUCAAAGGCAUGGGCUGGGGGGGACAUCCUUGCUUUCAAGCUAUAUCACAGAUUAAAGGCAGAAUUGGCUCAGACUUUAUCUGGGAGAGCACAUUAGCAAAUGUAUGAAUUAUUCUCUGUUUACAAAACAAAUGAGCUUUCUAUUGGCUGGGCUAGCGUCUUCUUCCAUUGCAGACCAUUAAUAAAUGAAACUCUAUUUGGAUUUUACAGGCAUAUUUGCCAUCAGUGUCACACCAGUGGGCAGACUGGUGGUGUGGAAAGAGUCAGGCUUUGGAGUCAGAGAGCCAGAGAGUCUAAUCCUUGGCUCUAGCAUUUACUAAACUUGUGGCCUCUAGUAAGUUUAUUUAUCCCCUCUGAGCUUCCCUUCUAACAUCUGAUAAACUGAAGUAACAGAAGCUAAUGCCUACAGUUUUUAUAAAUAAAAUCAUCGGUACAAAGUGAGUGGCACCAGGCCUGACACUUGGUAGGCAUUCAAUAAAUCUUCCUUUCUUCUAAAAAGGAAACUUCGCAAUUUAAACGACUAAGAGCCAGGGAUAUCCCUGCCCUGGGCAACAUAAUAUUUCACCACUACAACUGGAUUGCAAGCAGAAGGGUAAUUCAGGAAGUUGCUGACCUGUGUUCCGCGGAGUUAGAACAGCACGUUGGUUUCAUAAAAAGAGUGAGAGGUGAUCCUUUUGACUAGACUGCUCUACCUGAGUCAGGAGCAAGUUCACCUGGGUCUUUGGCCUUCUGCCCAUGUUCAGAAGUAGGUCUCAGGUUGCCCACAAUUGCAUGCAUAGGGAAAAUCCUCAAUCUUGCUCUGUACAAACAUGGCUAACUACCUCAUUUACAGGAAUCAAAGCCCGGCCUAACUGGUAGAUGGAAAUGUGCUUACCGGUCUUAGCUUUAGCUGGCCCCCUCACAUGGUCACUGACCUGGUGACAACUGCUGGGUCCUAGCAAUGGACAUGGCUGGCCCAUCUGAUGAAGCAGCAAGUGGAGAAAUAAGUCAUGGGCCUUGGAAUCAGGAGGAAAAUAUUGCAAUUCCUCCCUAGACCUAUGAUUUGAAAUCUUUGUUUUUGCAUCUGCAAAAUGAGUAUAGCAGGACCUACAUCCCACGAAAGCUGGAUUUGCAAAUAAUGUAGGUAUUGGGUAUCUGGGACUUGGUAGAUCAUUUAUCUACAUUCUUUUCCAUUAUAUUUAUCCAUAGCCCUUCCCAUUGCUGUCCAGUUAUAAAACAUUUUAAUUGUCAAGUAUCACACCUGUUACCCCAACUCUGUAAAGAAGAUAUAAUGACUUUUCCUCCAUAUUUUUAGUGAUGGAAACUGAAGUAGGGGAAGUUCUGGGAUGUUUUCAAGUGACAUUUAGCAGGUGGCUAGUGCUGGGAAGUGAACACUGGUCUUCCAAUUCUAGAAGUGAGAUUCUUUUACUACUAAUUUGAGAGGUGAGAUUGGCAAGUGCAUCCACAAAUUAGAGUCCUGGACAGGCAUUUUAUAAUGUCAGAGUCACUGGUGCCCAUUUUAAAGGUGGACAAAUGGGGCUCAUAAUGUGAAAUAACUUGCCCUGGGUCACACCGUUGUCUGAAGCAAAGGUACAGUGAGAGUCCGUCUCUGCCCCUCUUCUGACUCCCAUGUCGGGUUCUUUGCUCUUGAGCUGAAAUUACAGACUGAGGGUGUGUAGGCUGAUUGGGCUGCACUUCUGAUUUACAGUCACUUAUGGUUUGCCCUCAUCCCCCCACCCACUGUCUUCUGUGUCUUCUGUGGUCCUGGAAUCCCCAGCUGACUUGUGCAGAGAGCACAGGUUUGUUUAUCUGAGCAGGGCACAUCAACAGAGCCCUGACAUCACUAUCUAUCAGUGUGAUAUGCCCAAACCCUGAAGACAGUUGAGUCAGCAACUCUUGCUUUACAGAAAGCCAUUUCUCAUAGGAAUAAACAGAUUUUAAAAGCACUAGAAUACAGCCCAACAGAGACUUUUUUUCCUAUUUAAUUUUUAUUAAUUGAAUUUUAUAGAUUAAAAGAAUUGGGACUCUGAGAAGUGUAGCAACUGAUCCUAAAACUCAGUCUGAAAGGCAGAGCUGGAGCUCAGCCCUGGCGAUGUCUGACCUUGCCUCUUUCUGCUGCUCAGAGCUGCAGCUCACAGUGGUCAACACUGAGCAAGUGCACAAUGUGUGCUUUCGCUUUUCAUUCAAAUCGCUCAGUGUAGAGUAUCUCUAGGAGUUUGCCAAAAAUCAGUUCCCUGGAUGACCAGCUUGUUAAACAAGCAAACAAAAGCAAAAACAAAACCAUUUCUCAAAAUUACAUGGAGCUUUAGAGUAAAUCUUAAAUAUGUAGAGUCAGUCAUCUUUUUUUCUUUCUUAUCUCUUCCUUUUUAAAAAAUGCCUGGCUAUUCUUGGUCCUUUACUCUUCCAUGUGAAUUUUAGGUUCAGCUUGUCAAUCUCCCUGGCAAACUGUUGGGGUUUUGCUUGGAAUCACUCUGAAUCUUUAGAUUAACUUGAGAAGUGGCAUCUUUACAGCGCUGAGUUUACCUAUCCAUGAAUAGAGUAUUAUAGUUUCCAUUUGUUCAGCUUUUCUUUUCAGCUUUUUAAUAAAGGAGUGUGUGUGCGUGUGUUUCACUGAACAAGAAUUCAUUGAGCAUGUGGUAUAUGCAAGGCCAACACUG
rnacentral:lncRNA from 1 species